GUUUGGAUCCACCUGCCAAGCACCUGUUCCUCUGUUUCAAUGCCAUUUGAUUGCUGGAGAUGUAGAGGCUCUUGUGAGGUUUCUUGCACAGUUGCGUGCUUUGUGCUGAUGGGAGAUGUUGCAGACUCAGGUCUUUACCCACAGACCAGUUUCCAUGCUGGGAACUGCAGGAUAAAUCAACCCACGCUCCUCCUCAUCAUGGAGAAUCCAGCAGCUGCUUGGGAUCAUCUCCCAGAGAUGAAGGAGAUGUGGAAGCCAAACUGAGAGGUGCAGCCAGGCUUGCAGCAUCCCCUCUGCCUCUCCCCAAGAAGGGAUGCUGAACACUGGAGGAAGCUGCUUUCUCCUCUGAUCUCUCUGCUGAUCCCAAGUGGGUUAUUGCUGUGCUCAGAGCUGGAGUGCAGGAAAGAGAAGGAAUAUCUGUGGGGAGGAUGGACAGGCCAACAGGAGGAAAGAGAAAACAGUUGCAAAUGUUUUGAGAAUCCAUCAUCCUCCCAGGUUGAUGGCAAGGCCCUCGUGACCCAGCUGUGAGUCACCAUUCCCAGCUGGGUGGCUCUGAAGAGAGACAAGGAGCUCAGAUGUGUCCCUGAUUCCCCACCAGCACAGGCCAGGAACAUCUGUCUGCUCCUUCCCUUCCUUCAGACGCUCCCAAGGAGGGGGCAGA